rnacentral:lncRNA from 1 species
UUGGCAUUGCUGUGGCUGUGCUGUGGCUGUAGCUCCAAUUCAACCUCUAGCCUGGGAACUUCCAUGUGCUGUGAGUGUGGCCCUAAAAAAGACGCCCCCCCCACCCCCAGAAAAAGAGAAAUGGGAGGAAGGGAGGAAGGAAGGAGGAAAGAAAGGGAGAGAAGAGAAGAAGGGGAGGAAAGAGAAGGAAUGAAUGAAUGAUGGAAGGAAGGAGCCUCUUUAACUUUCCACCACCCUGAGAUUUCCAUCUCCAACUUGCAGGGACUUGCUUGAGGAAACUACCAGGUGACUUGAGUCAAGAGGCUUUAAAGACAUUUGGCGUAUUUCUGAUGGUGUCAUGUUGGAGAAGGUUCUUUAGAAGGUUCUCCAGCCCAUUUGGGAAACUCCACGUAGCCCAUCAACCUCCCGCCAUCAAUCGCACCAACUAUAAAUUUCAUCCUGGGAAGGAAAUGUGCCUUGAGGGUUGCAUUCAUCUUCUAUGCCAGGUGCACGGGGAGAGCAGAGGAAGGGAAGGAAUCCAGGCCUUUUCACCCUCUGGGCUGCUUGUCCCUGGUGCCCUGAGCCCUGGAGGGCCGGGCUGGAAGCCAAGGAACAAAUUGGUGCUGCCCAGCUAGGGUACCACUGAGUUGAGUCACCCUGACCAGCAGGUCCACCGGCUCUUGGCAUGCAAGUCCAGCAAAACAGGACUCAGCACUUGCUGGGAUCUCCCUGAAGUGCAAUGAGUUUGGCUGGAACAUGAGUGGUUCAAGUUCUGACAUUUUGUUCAUCAUGGUAUUUUUGCAAUUGAUUCUGAUUUGGGGAGAAAGAUUGCAUUAAAUGUUUGUUUGUUU